UAAUUCCGAGCUCAUGUUUGAGCUCGCAAUGUGUAUUUAACAUUCAAGUUUAGUUAGCUUGACGAAACUUAAUUACAACUUUACGUUGAACUUCAGAGAACGUCUCAAUCAUUAGAAAACUCAUGGAGAUAAUAUUUUUAUUAGUAGAUAUUUAGUUUACUCGACUAAUAACGAGUAAAAUAUAAAAUAUGUGUUUGUUCUUAUUAGAUAAGUUGGAAUAAAUUUUAUUUCUAAUUUUAAGCUUAAUUUUAUUUUAAAGGAUUUUGAAAGAAGAGCCUUGGAUAAGGGCAUCUUUAUCAUUUUAGUACUUUAUCCCGAGAUUAGUAAUUCUCGAAAUUAUUAUUCCACCAGUACCAUCAAUUUAAUGACGAACCACAUAACUAAUUGUUGUUGAAAAAAAAUCAUCGAGUUCUUUGGCAAUUUAUUGCUGACUGAAUUUCUUGCAGUCAAAAUGUCAAUAUACCUAUGACUUUUUGAAGACUUUUGUCGUAAAACUUCUUCUAAUUUUGGUAGUUUUAUUGUUGAAAUUUUUGUAAUCUAAAGUAGCCAUGUAAGAUGAAAAUGAACUAGUUUAUGAAAAAAAAGGUAUGAUAAUGAUGCAUAAAGGUUACAAUAAGGUUUGGAAAACACGAUUACUUAGACUAUAUGAUAUUAGGAUAUAAACUUUGUCUAUAAUUUUCGGUCAUGAGUUUCAAGCACAAACAAAUAAUAUUUUUAGGUGAUCAAUUUACUCAACUUGGUUGUGUUAAUUUACUGGCAAUUAUAAUACCUCUCAUCAAUAGCCCUUUUUGCCUUGCAUGUUAAUGUCCGCUAUAAAUUAUUUGAAAUGUAUUUCAAUAAAUGUCCUAAUAUGAUUUGCCAUUGCGCACAUUACAUCUCACAAUUGCUUAUAGAAAGUAGUAAGAGUUCAAUUUUGAUAAAG
rnacentral:lncRNA from 1 species